UUACGGUCAAAUCACGCUGAAAACACCGGUUCUCGUUCGAUCACCGAAGUUAAGCAUCGUAGAGCCAGGUCAGUACUUAGAUGGGGGACCGCUUGGAAACACCUGGUACUGUAAG
rnacentral:rRNA from 1 species